rnacentral:rRNA from 1 species
AUUGAACGCUGGUGGCAUGCUUUACACAUGCAAGUCGAACGGUAACAGGCCGCAAGGUGCUGACGAGUGGCGAACGGGUGAGUAAUGCAUCGGAACGUGCCCAGUCGUGGGGGAUAACUACUCGAAAGAGUAGCUAAUACCGCAUACGAUCUAUGGAUGAAAGCGGGGGACCGUAAGGCCUCGCGCGAUUGGAGCGGCCGAUGUCAGAUUAGGUAGUUGGUGGGGUAAAGGCUCACCAAGCCAACGAUCUGUAGCUGGUCUGAGAGGACGACCAGCCACACUGGGACUGAGACACGGCCCAGACUCCUACGGGAGGCAGCAGUGGGGAAUUUUGGACAAUGGGCGCAAGCCUGAUCCAGCAAUGCCGCGUGCAGGAAGAAGGCCUUCGGGUUGUAAACUGCUUUUGUACGGAACGAAACGGCUCUGGUUAAUACCCGGGGCUAAUGACGGUACCGUAAGAAUAAGCACCGGCUAACUACGUG